GAUGAACGCUGGCGGUAUGCUUAACACAUGCAAGUCGAACGAAAUCUUCGGAUUUAGUGGCGGACGGGUGAGUAACGCGUGAGAAUCUGGCUUCAGGUCUGGGACAACCACUGGAAACGGUGGCUAAUACCGGAUGUGCCGAAAGGUGAAAGGUUAACUGCCUGAAGAUGAGCUCGCGUCUGAUUAGCUAGUUGGUAGAGUAAAAGCCUACCAAGGCGACGAUCAGUAGCUGGUCUGAGAGGACGAUCAGCCACACUGGGACUGAGACACGGCCCAGACUCCUACGGGAGGCAGCAGUGGGGAAUUUUCCGCAAUGGGCGAAAGCCUGACGGAGCAAUACCGCGUGAGGGAGGAAGGCUCUUGGGUCGUAAACCUCUUUUCUCAGGGAAGAACACAAUGACGGUACCUGAGGAAUAAGCAUCGGCUAACUCCGUGCCAGCAGCCGCGGUAAUACGGAGGAUGCAAGCGUUAUCCGGAAUGAUUGGGCGUAAAGCGUCCGCAGGUGGCAAUGUAAGUCUGCUGUUAAAGAGUCUAGCUCAACUAGAUAAGAGCAGUGGAAACUACAUAGCUAGAGUACGUUCGGGGCAGAGGGAAUUCCUGGUGUAGCGGUGAAAUGCGUAGAGAUCAGGAAGAACACCAGUGGCGAAGGCGCUCUGCUAGGCCGUAACUGACACUGAGGGACGAAAGCUAGGGGAGCGAAUGGGAUUAGAUACCCCAGUAGUCCUAGCCGUAAACGAUGGAUACUAGGCGUGGCUUGUAUCGACCCGAGCCGUGCCGUAGCUAACGCGUUAAGUAUCCCGCCUGGGGAGUACGCCGGCAACGGUGAAACUCAAAGGAAUUGACGGGGGCCCGCACAAGCGGUGGAGUAUGUGGUUUAAUUCGAUGCAACGCGAAGAACCUUACCAAGGCUUGACAUGUCGCGAAUCCUGGUGAAAGCUGGGAGUGCCUUCGGGAGCGCGAACACAGGUGGUGCAUGGCUGUCGUCAGCUCGUGUCGUGAGAUGUUGGGUUAAGUCCCGCAACGAGCGCAACCCUCGUUUUUAGUUGCCAGCAUUAAGUUGGGCACUCUAGAGAGACUGCCGGUGACAAACCGGAGGAAGGUGGGGAUGACGUCAAGUCAGCAUGCCCCUUACGCCUUGGGCUACACACGUACUACAAUGCUCCGGACAGAGGGCAGCAAGCAUGCGAAUGCAAGCAAAUCCCGGAAACCGGAGCUCAGUUCAGAUCGCAGGCUGCAACUCGCCUGCGUGAAGGAGGAAUCGCUAGUAAUUGCAGGUCAGCAUACUGCAGUGAAUUCGUUCCCGGGCCUUGUACACACCGCCCGUCACACCAUGGAAGCUGGUAGUGCCCGAAGUCAUUACUCCAACCUGCAAAGGAGGAGGAUGCCUAAGGCAGGACUGGUGACUGGGGUGAAGUCGUAACAAGGUAGCCGUACCGGAAGGUGUGGCUGGAUCACCUCCUUUUUAGGGA
rnacentral:rRNA from 1 species